GUGGGGAAUCUUGCGCAAUGGGCGAAAGCCUGACGCAGCCAUGCCGCGUGAAUGAUGAAGGUCUUAGGAUUGUAAAAUUCUUUCACCGGGGACGAUAAUGACGGUACCCGGAGAAGAAGCCCCGGCUAACUUCGUGCCAGCAGCCGCGGUAAUACGAAGGGGGCUAGCGUUGCUCGGAAUUACUGGGCGUAAAGGGCGCGUAGGCUGACAUUUAAGUCAGGGGUGAAAUCCCAGAGCUCAACUCUGGAACUGCCUUUGAUACUGGGUGUCUUGAGUGUGAGAGAGGUAUGUGGAACUCCGAGUGUAGAGGUGAAAUUCGUAGAUAUUCGGAAGAACACCAGUGGCGAAGGCGACUCACUGGCCCAAUACUGACGCUGAGGCGCGAAAGCGUGGGGAGCAAACAGGAUUAGAUACCCGGGUAGUCC
rnacentral:rRNA from 1 species